CCUACGGGUGGCAGCAGUGAGGAAUAUUGGUCAAUGGGCGGGAGCCUGAACCAGCCAAGUCGCGUGAGGGACGACGGUCCUAUGGAUUGUAAACCUCUUUUGUCGGGGAACAAAGGCGCCCACGGGUGGGCGGAUGAGUGUACCCGAAGAAAAAGCAUCGGCUAACUCCGUGCCAGCAGCCGCGGUAAUACGGAGGAUGCGAGCGUUAUCCGGAUUUAUUGGGUUAAAAGGGUGCGUAGGCGGACAGUCAAGUCAGCGGUAAAAAUGCGGUGCUCAACGCCGUACAGCCGUUGAAACUGGCAGUCUUGAGUGGGCGAGAAGUAUGCGGAAUGCGUGGUGUAGCGGUGAAAUGCAUAGAAAUCACGCAGAACCCCGAUUGCGAAGGCAGCCUGCCAAGCCAUGACUGACGCUGAUGCACGAAAGCGUGGGGAUCAAACAGGAUUAGAUACCCGAGUAGUC
rnacentral:rRNA from 1 species